rnacentral:rRNA from 1 species
GAGUUUGAUCCUGGCUCAUGACGAACGCUGGCGGCGCGCCUAACACAUGCAAGUCGAACGAGCGAGAGAGAGCUUGCUUUCUCAAGCGAGUGGCGAAGGGGUGAGUAGCGCGUGAGGAACCUGCCUCAAAGAGGGGGACAACAGUUGGAAACGACUGCUAAUACCGCAUAAGCCCACAGCUCGGCAUCGAGCAGAGGGAAAAGGAGCAAUCCGCUUUGAGAUGGCCUCGCGUCCGAUUAGCUAGUUGGUGAGGUAACGGCCCACCAAGGCGACGAUCGGUAGCCGGACUGAGAGGUUGAACGGCCACAUUGGGACUGAGACACGGCCCAGACUCCUACGGGAGGCAGCAGGGGGGAAUAUUGCACAAUGGGGGAAACCCUGAUGCAGCGACGCCGCGUGGAGGAAGAAGGUCUUCGGAUUGUAAACUCCUGUUGUUGAGGAAGAUAAUGACGGUACUCAACAAGGAAGUGACGGCUAACUACGUGCCAGCAGCCGCGGUAAAACGUAGGUCACAAGCGUUGUCCGGAAUUACUGGGUGUAAAGGGAGCGCAGGCGGGAAGACAAGUUGGAAGUGAAAUCUAUGGGCUCAACCCAUAAACUGCUUUCAAAACUGUUUUUCUUGAGUAGUGCAGAGGUAGGCGGAAUUCCCGGUGUAGCGGUGGAAUGCGUAGAUAUCGGGAGGAACACCAGUGGCGAAGGCGGCCUACUGGGCACCAACUGACGCUGAGGCUCGAAAGUGUGGGUAGCAAACAGGAUUAGAUACCCUGGUAGUCCACACCGUAAACGAUGAUUACUAGGUGUUGGAGGAUUGACCCCUUCAGUGCCGCAGUUAACACAAUAAGUAAUCCACCUGGGGAGUACGACCGCAAGGUUGAAACUCAAAGGAAUUGAUGGGGGCCCGCACAAGCAGUGGAGUAUGUGGUUUAAUUCGACGCAACGCGAAGAACCUUACCAAGUCUUGACAUCCCUUGACGAACAUAGAAAUAUGUUUUCUCUUCGGAGCAAGGAGACAGGUGGUGCAUGGUUGUCGUCAGCUCGUGUCGUGAGAUGUUGGGUUAAGUCCCGCAACGAGCGCAACCCUUACUGUCAGUUACUACGCAAGAGGACUCUGGCAGGACUGCCGUUGACAAAACGGAGGAAGGUGGGGAUGACGUCAAAUCAUCAUGCCCUUUAUGACUUGGGCUACACACGUACUACAAUGGCGUUAAACAAAGAGAAGCAAGACCGCGAGGUGGAGCAAAACUCAGAAACAACGUCCCAGUUCGGACUGCAGGCUGCAACUCGCCUGCACGAAGUCGGAAUUGCUAGUAAUCGUGGAUCAGCAUGCCACGGUGAAUACGUUCCCGGGCCUUGUACACACCGCCCGUC